rnacentral:rRNA from 1 species
CUGGCGGCGUGCUUAACACAUGCAAGUCGAACGGAAAGGCCCUGCUUUUGUGGGGUGCUCGAGUGGCGAACGGGUGAGUAACACGUGAGUAACCUGCCCUUGACUUUGGGAUAACUUCAGGAAACUGGGGCUAAUACCGGAUAGGAGCUCCUGCUGCAUGGUGGGGGUUGGAAAGUUUCGGCGGUUGGGGAUGGACUCGCGGCUUAUCAGCUUGUUGGUGGGGUAGUGGCUUACCAAGGCUUUGACGGGUAGCCGGCCUGAGAGGGUGACCGGCCACAUUGGGACUGAGAUACGGCCCAGACUCCUACGGGAGGCAGCAGUGGGGAAUAUUGCACAAUGGGCGGAAGCCUGAUGCAGCAACGCCGCGUGCGGGAUGACGGCCUUCGGGUUGUAAACCGCUUUCGCCUGUGACGAAGCGUGAGUGACGGUAAUGGGUAAAGAAGCACCGGCUAACUACGUGCCAGCAGCCGCGGUGAUACGUAGGGUGCGAGCGUUGUCCGGAUUUAUUGGGCGUAAAGGGCUCGUAGGUGGUUGAUCGCGUCGGAAGUGUAAUCUUGGGGCUUAACCCUGAGCGUGCUUUCGAUACGGGUUGACUUGAGGAAGGUAGGGGAGAAUGGAAUUCCUGGUGGAGCGGUGGAAUGCGCAGAUAUCAGGAGGAACACCAGUGGCGAAGGCGGUUCUCUGGGCCUUUCCUGACGCUGAGGAGCGAAAGCGUGGGGAGCGAACAGGCUUAGAUACCCUGGUAGUCCACGCUGUAAACGGUGGGUACUAGGUGUGGGGUCCAUUCCACGGGUUCCGUGCCGUAGCUAACGCUUUAAGUACCCCGCCUGGGGAGUACGGCCGCAAGGCUAAAACUCAAAGGAAUUGACGGGGCCCCGCACAAGCGGCGGAGCAUGCGGAUUAAUUCGAUGCAACGCGUAGAACCUUACCUGGGUUUGACAUGGAUCGGGAGUGCUCAGAGAUGGGUGUGCCUCUUUUGGGGUCGGUUCACAGGUGGUGCAUGGCUGUCGUCAGCUCGUGUCGUGAGAUGUUGGGUUAAGUCCCGCAACGAGCGCAACCCUUGUUCACUGUUGCCAGCACGUUAUGGUGGGGACUCAGUGGAGACCGCCGGGGUCAACUCGGAGGAAGGUGGGGAUGACGUCAAGUCAUCAUGCCCCUUAUGUCCAGGGCUUCACGCAUGCUACAAUGGCUGGUACAGAGAGUGGCGAGCCUGUGAGGGUGAGCGAAUCUCGGAAAGCCGGUCUCAGUUCGGAUUGGGGUCUGCAACUCGACCUCAUGAAGUCGGAGUCGCUAGUAAUCGCAGAUCAGCAACGCUGCGGUGAAUACGUUCCCGGGGCUUGUACACACCGCCCGUCAAGUCAUGAAAGUUGGUAACACCCGAAGCCGGUGGCCUAACCGUUGUGGGGGAGCCGUCGAAGGUGGGACUGGAG